AUCAGCUAGUUGGUGAGGUAAUGGCUCACCAAGGCUUCGACGGGUAGCCGGCCUGAGAGGGCGACCGGCCACACUGGGACUGAGAUACGGCCCAGACUCCUACGGGAGGCAGCAGUGGGGAAUAUUGCACAAUGGGCGAAAGCCUGAUGCAGCGACGCCGCGUGAGGGAUGACGGCCUUCGGGUUGUAAACCUCUUUCAGCAGGGACGAAGCGAAAGUGACGGUACCUGCAGAAGAAGCACCGGCCAAC
rnacentral:rRNA from 1 species